CAGCAUGAGCUCCAGAAGUUCCCGGGGAGUUGUCCCCCCCACAGUGAUGUACUGUGGGGUUGCUAGUUUCAACAACUUCACUGCAGAUCAAGCAUUGGAACAAGGUUUACGGCUUGAACAGGCACCCAACGAGAGACAAGUCUACCAUUAAUGCACCAAAGAUCCAGCUGAUUACUGGCAAUUUGGAGGAGGAUUCU